UAGAGAUAUAAUUUAAUAUAAAGUAUGUACACAACAAAAAGUAUAAAAAAGAGACCACGAGUAAGUAGUUACACUAACAGACAUAUUGCACGCAAGUAAUAUUGCAGGGUUUUAAAAUUUCUGUUAUUGCACAUGUUUAAAUGACUUUGUCAUUUUUUUUUAUUUAUUAAUCUAUCCUUAAUUUGUCAAUCCAUUCAUUUUUGCUUCUAAAAUUAAUACGUUGUUUGGUUGUGGAACAUUGUGUGAUAGCGCUUUCACCAGCAGAGGUCGUCAUCGAGCUGUGGUUGGAAAAGCUUCGAGUAAUGAACCUUUUUCCGAUACAUUUGGGUUGAAAGAUUCACUUCUUCAAGAAAGCUUCACUUCGCCAUCACUAUUUAUAACCUUUUACAGACUGAUAGAUCUCAAUUACUUUCUUUCUCAUUUGUUCCAUAAAUCCCUGAUGUGUAGCUUUUGAGGAUCUUUUGGUCUUCUUCACUUUGCCAGUCAGGUCAAGGACAAGAAGAUAUAUAAAAAAUAAUAUAUAAUUCAUUUUUUUUCCUUUCUCCCCUAAUUCAGGUCUGAGUCUGCGUGCUGUUUGGGUCUGUGUGAUGCAUGCUGGAUAUUUCCUGUUCUCUGCAGUCCUGCUGUCCUUUUUGCAGUGUCCCACAUUCUCCCGUGUCUCACUGUGCCCAUCAACGCCAUCUCUGAGGUCAAUCAGCAGUCGGCUCUUGACCUGGUCACACUCUCUCUGCUCCUCUUUACACUGUCAUUGGCUCUUUCUCAGGGCGUCCUCUGUGUGGUGGCAUCACCAGACUGGGACAGCCAUGUAAGAAGAGGGCAUUGGCAGGUCAGGACUUCCGUAGGAUCCAUGAAGGGGGACACAACUCCUACAGUCACCUGUAAACGUGUGACACACCUGUAGCACAGCCAGCGUAUCGUGUGUCUUUUCUCCAGUAUGAACACUUCAUUUGUUUUUAACAUUUUGCAUUAAGUCUUGUUUUUACAAAAUAUUUGUACAGUUGGUAAUUAUAAUAAAUUAUUACAAAGACCUGA